AUUGAACGCUGGCGGCAGGCUUAACACAUGCAAGUCGAGCGGGGAAAAGUAGCUUGCUACUUAACCUAGCGGCGGACGGGUGAGUAAUGCUUAGGAAUCUGCCUAUUAGUGGGGGACAACAUCUCGAAAGGGAUGCUAAUACCGCAUACGUCCUACGGGAGAAAGCAGGGGACCUUCGGGCCUUGCGCUAAUAGAUGAGCCUAAGUCGGAUUAGCUAGUUGGUGGGGUAAAGGCCUACCAAGGCGACGAUCUGUAGCGGGUCUGAGAGGAUGAUCCGCCACACUGGGACUGAGACACGGCCCAGACUCCUACGGGAGGCAGCAGUGGGGAAUAUUGGACAAUGGGGGGAACCCUGUUCCAGCCAUGCCGCGUGUGUGAAGAAGGCCUUUUGGUUGUAAAGCACUUUAAGCGAGGAGGAGGCUACCGAGAUUAAUACUCUUGGAUAGUGGACGUUACUCGCAGAAUAAGCACCGGCUAACUCUGUGCCAGCAGCCGCCGUAA
rnacentral:rRNA from 1 species